AAUGAGUCCAUAAAAAGCUUAUUGCGCAGGUUCUCAGUACAGAGAGAUUAAUACAUAAGUACCACAAAACAAGGAUGAGAUUACGCAGAAGCGUACAUGAUAUGAGCCGAGUCAGAUCCUGCUGACUCUACACUAUAUUAGGGCUAAGAUAUCCAACAUAAUUCAAUCAGCACAAAUACUACAUGCCAGGCCGAACUUGCAAUCAGGAUUAUGUACCGAUCACUAAAGGUCUGUUCUUAUUUCUUCACCCUUUUUCUUAACAUAUUUCUUCCCCCUUUAUUUGUUGUAAUAUUUGCAACUCUUUUAACACAAGUACUGAUUCACCACAAGAAAGGUUAAUACAGCAAGAAGGUUUUGUCACAGGUGUUACCACAAGAAUUCCGCUGAACCUUUCCUAGCAUAGCUGAUAAAAGAGUGGCAAAUUGCCUUGUCAAUGAUACCGAAUGAGUCCAUAAAAAGCUUAUUGCGCAGGUUCUCAGUACAGAGAGAUUAAUACAUAAGUACCACAAAACAAGGAUGAGAUUACGCAGAAGCGUGCAUGAUAUGAGCCGAGUCAGAUCCUGCUGACUCUACACUAUAUUAGGGCUAAGAUAUCCAACAUAAUUCAGAUCUCAAAGCAUCGUCUAGACCCUGACCCCGGAAGGCCAAGAAGAGCACCUGAAAUGAGGAGGAUGUACUAGCCAGUCCCGACUAGAGCAGUCUACCAUAAUUAGAUGAGUGCAAUGCUGCUCUCGCCAC
rnacentral:lncRNA from 1 species